AGCACACUUUGGAGACUGACAGACGACACAGGAGGACCGUUCUGAGGCCCAGCACCUGGAUGACACCCCUCUCCUUGGGAGUCCCGCCCCAGUCCCUUGGGCAGAACCAGGCAGGCAGGGGGCACCCAGCUGGCAGAGGGGUAGGGCAGGGCACCGGACUUCGCCUAGGACCGGCCUCUCCGUUCCAUGCCGACGCCAGACGGCUCCUCGGGGACCGGCAAGAUGGUGAGAAGGAAGAAUAAAGGGGCAUUGGAAAUUAGCCCCGGCUUUCACUCACCAGCCGUCGCCGCUCGACGUUGGCAGCGGCGGCACAUCUUCUCCUUCCGCCAUUGCUGUUGACGUCCACGUCACUUUGCCGAAAAGUGGAUCCGGCGCUGAGACCAACUCCGAGACUCAAUGUCGUAAAAGGUCUUCGGAAGUCCAGCACUGAGCUUCCCCAGAGGGGAAGAAAGAGGGAGGUGGCAAGGGACUGGAGGAACGCAACGUCACGGCGUCCCGAGGCCGAAAGGCAGCGUCUUGGGGGAGGAGACUUGGUGGAGGCAGCUGCCCCUCCAAAGACUACAUGUCCCAAGAUGCCACGGUGCCGCGGGCGGGGCGGGGCGCGGUGGACGCCGUCCCAGUUGGAGGCCUUGUGUGACAAACAGCGUGUCUUUUUAGCGUCCACUUAGCGUCUUCAUUCCAGCUUGGCGUCGAAAUUAACAAAGUUAGAAUUUACAGUCCUAACUAUUGGAGAAAGCAAGGGAAAUGGGAAUUGACAUAGGGAAGGCGGACGUAGGAGAAGAGCCACAGUUCAGUAAUUUCCUGCUGUAGCAAUUUAAUUUGAAGAAAGAGUGGGACGUAAGGAAAGGGGCAGACCACCCCUAUUUGUGAGGCCCCGUCAAAAGUGUAAAUGAAGGCCCACAUACUUUUUGACUGAAUAUUUAAAAGUUGUAAAUGAAGCUAUAUACUAAAGGAGAUACGUUCUAGCCUCCUACCUUAAAUAUAUCUUCCUAACAGUCUGGAAGAUCAAGUCCGAAUUUAGAAUUCUAGGACUGGAAUUCCAGGCAAGCAGAGCUGCCAAAAUCCUUCUCUACGCGUUCCACUUCCCCUUUACACCGCAUGGGCGGACACUUGGCCACCGCCGGGGCCUUGGGGUGAGCACACGCUCAGGAGGAUGGACCUAAAGAAACGCUUUUGCAAGCCCUGAAAACAACAGUGAUGAAGUAGAACUGCAUGUAACAAUAUGGAUACAUCUGAAAAAUACGCUGUUAAAUGAGCAAAACAGAUUGCAGACGGAUAGGUAAAGUAUGGUAUCAUUUAUAGUUGGUGUUUAAAAGACAAUAUAUUUAAAAUAGAUCCAUAUGAGUUUAAAAUGCAGGAGAAUGAUAUAUAGAAAACUCGGAAUGGCAGUUACAUUCAGGGAAAGGGAGGAGUUUCCAUGAAUUUUUAAAUAUUUAUUAAGGGCCCCAAGGUGGCCACAUAGGUGGCCAGU
rnacentral:lncRNA from 10 species